rnacentral:rRNA from 1 species
GAUGAACGCUGGCGGCGUGCUUAACACAUGCAAGUCGAGCGAGUGAGUUCUUCGGAACGAUCUAGCGGCGGACGGGUGAGUAACACGUGGGCAACCUGCCUCAUAGAGGGGAAUAGCCUCCCGAAAGGGAGAUUAAUACCGCAUAAAAUCAUCGAGUGGCAUCACAUGAUAAUCAAAGGAGUAAUCCGCUAUGAGAUGGGCCCGCGGCGCAUUAGCUAGUUGGUGAGGUAACGGCUCACCAAGGCGACGAUGCGUAGCCGACCUGAGAGGGUGAUCGGCCACAUUGGGACUGAGACACGGCCCAGACUCCUACGGGAGGCAGCAGUGGGGAAUAUUGCACAAUGGGGGAAACCCUGAUGCAGCAACGCCGCGUGAGUGAUGAAGGUCUUCGGAUUGUAAAGCUCUGUCUUUGGGGACGAUAAUGACGGUACCCAAGGAGGAAGCCACGGCUAACUACGUGCCAGCCGCCGCUGUAA